CCUCCCCUGUCCCUCCCCUGUCUCACCUGUCGCAGGUUGCUACAGUCGGAGCGGCGCCUGUUGCAGAACGCGGUGCGCAACGUCCUGGACGGGGAAUUGCUGAGCAGGUUCCUGUACCUGAGCGCCAUGGAGCGCGGGGAGCUGGCCAAGAAGAUCGGCACCACACCUGACAUCAUCCUGGACGACCUCCUGGAGAUCGAUCGAGUCACCGCCCACUUCUGAGGGCCCCAAAACCCCCAAAAAACCCCC